rnacentral:lncRNA from 1 species
UCAUCUAAAACAACCAAAAUUCUUACAUGCAAAUGCCAUCAAAAGGACUUUUCCAAGGCUUGUAAUGAGGCUGGGCUAACAAGAAAAUUGGUUUUUCUGGAAUGCAAAGUCCUUGAGUUAAGAGAGCUACCAUAAUAUUCAACAUUUAAGAACAACUCUCUUCCUCACCAAUCUCACUUAUUCCCAACUUUUUCCUUUUUCUUUUGCAUUGAGCCCAUCUUCAUGCUUUUCUUCUUUUCUUUUCUUUUUCUCAUGUAUUUUUCUUUCACACAUUUG